UACGUAGGUGACAAGCGUUGUCCGGAUUUACUGGGCGUAAAGAGCGCGCAGGCGGUCGAUCAAGUCGAGUGUGAAAGCCCCCGGCUCAACUGGGGAGGGUCAUUCGAUACUGAUCGACUCGAAGGCAGGAGAGGGUAGUGGAAUUCCCGGUGUAGUGGUGAAAUGCGUAGAUAUCGGGAGGAACACCAGUGGCGAAGGCGACUACCUGGCCUGUUCUUGACGCUGAGGCGCGAAAGCUAGGGGAGC
rnacentral:rRNA from 1 species